CACUGUGCUGCAUACAAUUACAUACUACGUCGUACGAUUGAGACAAGGAAACUUGGAAUGACUUUUCAUAGGUUUCCCAGAGACUAUGGGUUGAGGAGGAAGUGGAAGUUUGUCGGCUUAGACCUGGUGUCAUUCCAUCAGUGUUAAACUUCCCGGCUCAUCUUGGAAGAGUACGUGCCAGAAAGACCACGACCAAGCAGCCUUGAGAUCUUAGCAGCGUCUCCCUCAGACCAAAGAACUACAGACUCUUCACAACCUGCUCAAACUCUUGGUACAGGACCUCACCACACGGGUCAAGAAGGUUUCCUUCUCCUCAUUUCUACUCUGAAGCUCACCUUCUCCUGCUCAAACUGCUGACAAAUGUUACUGCUGCUCUCAAGUCUGGACUCCAGAACUUCCUAAAAACUCUCAAAGUCUCUUCUGCUGCAGGUUGCUUUGUAGAACUGUUACAGAAAACCUCACUAAACCACAUGGAGGGGCCUCAAGAUAGUCGUCCAAAUGAAACCAUACAAAAACCAAACUAGCACAACCCAAACGCUAAAGUCUCCUGCAGCCUACCAGAGAACCUCUGAGAACAGAGAAUCAGGACAGGAACUCUUACCUUCUGGACAACCAACGCUGGUUCACAAACAAGAAUACAGAAUGUGUCUGACCAAAAACCUCUGAAGACUCACUACAGCCAAGAUAAAGACACAACUCAGCUGCACCAAAUCCACUAAUCACUGC
ensembl:lncRNA